UGGGGAAUAUUGGACAAUGGGCGAAAGCCUGAUCCAGCCAUGCCGCGUGUGUGAAGAAGGUCUUCGGAUUGUAAAGCACUUUAAGUUGGGAGGAAGGGCAGUAAGUUAAUACCUUGCUGUUUUGACGUUACCGACAGAAUAAGCACCGGCUAACUCUGUGCCACCAGCCGCGGUAAUACAGAGGGUGCAAGCGUUAAUCGGAAUUACUGGGCGUAAAGCGCGCGUAGGUGGUUUGUUAAGUUGGAUGUGAAAGCCCCGGGCUCAACCUGGGAACUGCAUCCAAAACUGGCAAGCUAGAGUACGGUAGAGGGUGGUGGAAUUUCCUGUGUAGCGGUGAAAUGCGUAGAUAUAGGAAGGAACACCAGUGGCGAAGGCGACCACCUGGACUGAUACUGACACUGAGGUGCGAAAGCGUGGGGAGCAAACA
rnacentral:rRNA from 1 species